rnacentral:ncRNA from 2 species
AGUUGUCUUCAAGGCGCGGUGAAAUUCCCGACCGGCGGUGCAAGCCCGCAACCCACGUCACGUGGUUGAUCCAGUUGAAUCCUGGAGCCGACAGUAUAGUCUGGUAUAUAGAAGAAGCUU